GGAGGGGUCGCAUAGAGGUCUAGUGCGGGCGCCUGCUAAGCGCUUGGGCUGAGAAAUCGGCCUCAUGGGUUCGAAUCCCAUCCCCUCCGCCA
rnacentral:tRNA from 1 species